UACAGAGGGGGCGAGCGUUGUUCGGAAUUACUGGGCGUAAAGGGCGCGUAGGCGGCCCGCUAAGUCGAACGUGAAAUCCCCAGGCUCAACCUGGGAACUGCGUCCGAUACUGGCAGGCUUGAAUCCGGGAGAGGGAUGUGGAAUUCCAGGUGUAGCGGUGAAAUGCGUAGAUAUCUGGAGGAACACCGGUGGCGAAAGCGGCUCUCUGGCCCGGAUCUGACGCUGAGGCGCGAAAGCGUGGGGAGCAAACAGG
rnacentral:rRNA from 1 species